CCUACGGGAGGCAGCAGUGGGGAAUUUUCCGCAAUGGGCGAAAGCCUGACGGAGCAAUACCGCGUGAGGGAGGAAGGUCUUUGGAUUGUAAACCUCUUUUAUUAGGGAAGAAGAAAGUGACGGUACCUAAUGAAUAAGCAUCGGCUAACUCCGUGCCAGCAGCCGCGGUAAUACGGAGGAUGCGAGCGUUAUCCGGAAUUAUUGGGCGUAAAGAGUCCGUAGGUGGUUUAGCAAGUCUGCCGUUAAAGAAUGGAGCUUAACUCCAUAGGGGCGGUGGAAACUGCGAGACUAGAGUACAGUAGGGGUAGCAGGAAUUCCCAGUGUAGCGGUGAAAUGCGUAGAUAUUGGGAAGAACAUCGGUGGCGAAAGCGUGCUACUGGGCUGAAACUGACACUGAGGGACGAAAGCUAGGGUAGCGAAAGGGAUUAGAUACCCCUGUAGUCCUAGCCGUAAACGAUGGAUACUAGGCGUGGCUUGUAUCGACCCGAGCCGUGCCGAAGCUAACGCGUUAAGUAUCCCGCCUGGGGAGUACGCACGCAAGUGUGAAACUUAAAGGAAUUGACGGA
rnacentral:rRNA from 1 species